UUGUGGUGCUCGUUACCUUACUGAGACAUCUCGUGACCGUGGUUAGUGUCACCAACGGCGGAACGAGGCAGAGCGCCGGGAUCGAGCGUGUAAAAACGCGCUGCAUUAGCAGCUCCUGGAUACAGAGCCAAGGUGCAAGCCAGCAUGAGAGAUCUUGAGAGAUGGGAGAUCAGCAUGAGAGAUGAGAUCAGCAUGAGAUCAGCAUGAGAUCAGCAUGAGAGAAUGUAAAACUUCCAACUGGAGAGUGCUAUGUUGUUAGGGACGUGUCCCAAAGUGCCAUCACAUGGCUGUGGAGACUAGUACACACAUGGAGGAAUAUUUUUACUACAGUGAUACGGAGUGAUAUGGAGUACAGAUGGAUGGAUAGAAAAGAAAACUGAGAUGAUGGGAAGUAAGUACAUGUCAUGUAAGUUGAUUGUGUGGAAGAAAUUUGAAACAAGAUAAAAUAAAAGUUUCACUCAAACAUACAUGUAACAUCCUGAUUAGUAUUCCAUCUUCAUUUUUCCAGUUAGUGGCACUCCACACGCUCCGAUUACCUGGCGUAUAUGUGUGUGUGUGUGUGUGUGUGUGUGUGUGUGUGUGUGUGUGCGCGUGUGUGUGUGUGUGUGUGUGUGUGUGUGUGUGUGUGUGUGCCAGCUAGUCCGGUUGGUGGGUACACUUAUGCCUGAUUGUGUUGGUUCUGUUGCCAAUGGGCUCGGCUGCUUGAAGGUGUAAUGUUGUACCUGCCACCUUUGUUGGUUGCAGGGUUCAUAUACUUUCUAUUUGAAGUAUACAUACCUGUUAACCAUGGACUGCUUCUGGCUAGAUUAACUCUUGUGUAAUCAAUGGUGCUAGUGAAGCUUAUAUCAGAUCCACUCUGAUUUAGCCACCCACACUAGUAGCAAGUAUUACCUUCACUGGGGGCAGGGGUAACUGCAGUUGGAUCCCGGGACGGAUACCCUGAUUCCGUCAAUCCUUUUUCUGGAACUUGUCCUCGCCCACUUACUGAGGUGUGAUGAGCCCAUAAGUGGGAUAGUUUUCAAGUCCACCCAGAGUUUUGGGGAUUUCAGGGUUUUUUAGCCAUUGAGCGGUUCUAUAGCCAAUUGAGUCAUCUUUCCAAGAUUCCUUUUGAGUCUCUCUCCCCUCUCCCGGGGAGACCCACGUGACCAGUUUUGGAAGUGAGCAACAAGCACAAGUGUGUGUAUGUGUGUGAGUGUGUGUGUUUGUGUGUGUGUGUGUGUGCGCGUCCUCAGCCCUUGCAAAGACCCUUGGAGUGCCUGAGGACAUUGGUCACAUCGUACGGAAACGGCGUUUGCGCUGGCUUGGACACGUGACACGGAUGGAAGAUGACCGGUUGCCCAAGUGUGUUCUCUUCGGUGAACUGCCUGCCCCGCGUCCCGCGCAUGCUCCAGGCAAGAGGUGGAGGACGUCAUUAUGGAUGACGUUUCGUCGGUUGAGCCACCGGUACCAACAUGUUGAUGGUACGGUGCAGCCCAGAACAGUCCGGAGUGGCGUACCAUUGCCCGUCGACCACCCAAUGCACCCUCUGCUGCUGGCUACGGUUGCGCCUGUGGCCGCAUGUUCCGUCGAAGUGGCGACCUGAAACGCAAUCAGUCGUUCUGUCGUGGACUGGAGAAUUAACUAUGCGCUAUCAUUGCUAAGCAAUGGGCAAGGUUCAAGGCAAGAUGCACGUCAUGAAGCAUUCGGCCCGUGAUCUCAGUGUCUGGUAGCUUAUGUAGCCGUGGUUGUAUGGGUGAUCAAAGAUGAUACUCUGCAUAUCAAUGUAAGUGUGAAGUAUUUGUGCUCUGCCCAUACAACACAGCAACAACGACAGAGUUACAUAGCCAGUGGCUGGCAAUGGUGAAGUAAUCAUAUGAAUAUGUGUUAGUAUUCCUGACCUAUUGUAAGCAAGUAAGCUCAUCAUUACUACAAGACUAAUAGUAUUACUAGCAGCAGACAUGACGUCAUUCUCCUGUUUACAUACCUCUAAUAUCUGUAUGUACAGCUGCAGCAGCAGUGGGUACCAUGGCAACACAGUACACACUUUAUCUCCCUCCCAUGUUCAGUUUUACUGCUCUGCACACACCAUCGUGGUGUUGUUGGCGUGUGUUGUGUGGUUUUGUUCUCAGCAUCUUCAGCAUAGUACACGUAGUGAAUCAUGUACCGGGUUACUUUCCAUCGCCUGCUGCCUCCGCUGCCGUAUACGUAUCGUUUUUAUUGAGAUGACGUGAGUUUACCGUGAUCAGUGAUUUCCCCGUCACCCCGGCUUGCGUGCUGUCAUACUGAAAGCUUUCCAAUCUAUUGAAUCUAUCCUUUUUGUUCUUGCCUGCAACAGCAAUCAACACUCUACCAUC